rnacentral:rRNA from 1 species
AUUGAACGCUGGCGGCAUGCUUUACACAUGCAAGUCGAACGGUAACAGGUUAAGCUGACGAGUGGCGAACGGGUGAGUAAUGCAUCGGAACGUGCCCGAUCGUGGGGGAUAACGCAGCGAAAGCUGCGCUAAUACCGCAUACGAUCUGAGGAUGAAAGCGGGGGACCGUAAGGCCUCGCGCGCUCGGAGCGGCCGAUGUCAGAUUAGGUAGUUGGUUGGGUAAAGGCCCACCAAGCCGACGAUCUGUAGCUGGUCUGAGAGGACGACCAGCCACACUGGGACUGAGACACGGCCCAGACUCCUACGGGAGGCAGCAGUGGGGAAUUUUGGACAAUGGGCGAAAGCCUGAUCCAGCAAUGCCGCGUGCAGGAAGAAGGCCUUCGGGUUGUAAACUGCUUUUGUACGGAGCGAAAAGGUCCUUUCUAAUACAAGGGGCUCAUGACGGUACCGUAAGAAUAAGCACCGGCUAACUACGUGCCAGCAGCCGCAGUAACAC